ensembl:lncRNA ZNF295-AS1 ZNF295 antisense RNA 1
CUGCAGCACCGCACUUGCCACUCGGAGAAAAUGCUUUGAAAGCCCAGACAGCCACAUACCAUUAGAAACAGUGACUCUUCUGCAGCUCCAAUGCAACUCUUCUGUGGCCCUGAUGUGACUGUUCUGCGGCUCUGAUGCGACUGCUCUGUGGCCCCGAUAUGACUAUUCUGCGGCCCUGAUGCCACUCUUCUGCAGCUCUAUGAGACUGUUCUGCAGCUCUAUGAGACUCUUCUGCAGCUCUAUGAGACUGUUCUCCAGCUCUAUGAGACUGUUCUGUGGCUCUGAUGUGACUCUUCUGCAGCUCUGAUGUAACUGUUCCGUGGCCCUGAUCGACUGUUCUGUGGCACCCACAUUCUUCAGAGCCACACUCAGAUGGAAGCUUUGCUGUGUGCAGGGGAUGAAACCAACUGUCAUUCAUCCUGCUGGAGGCCAGGAUGUCUGCCACACCCCCCGGGGCUGCCCCCUGCCUGUCUUUCCUGAAGACGUUCUCUCUCUGGCCCUGUUCCCAGGGCAGGCUGAAGGACAAAGGACAGGAAGAUGAGGUUUCAUCAUGUUCCCCAGGCUGGUCUCAUACUCCUGAGUUCAAGCAAUCCACCUGCCUUGGCCACCCAAAGUGCUGGGAUUACAGGUGUGAGCUACUGCGUCUAGCCCUCUUCCAUCGUUUUCAAGGAGGGAUCAGGGGUCAGCUGUUCGCAACUUGGUACGAAUGAGUUUGUCAUUGGAUCACCUCCCUUGGGAGGAAGUCUUGCCCUGGGGAUGUAGGAACAAGAACUAACAUGCUCAGUGCCUCCUAACAGCCCCACUUUACCUAGUGUGUCAAUUCCCCACAGACAAGUAAACUGAGGCCCAGGAAGCAUCGUUGCCUGAGGUUGCCGAGUUGAUAAGCAAAGGUCUCAGUCCCUGUGGACUCAGAGCCUGGGCUUCUCCCCUGGGACCCUGCAGCUCCACCGGCAGUUAUUCCAAUUCUUCCUCAGGUGUUGGAGGCUUGUAUGGAAACUCCUUGCUUCUGUCUCUCGCUCAGCCCUUAGAAAACCUCCAAGAGAUGGCCACUCCUGCCUGUGGUGCAGAGAACGCCCAGGCAGAAGACCCUUGGAGGCUCAGACAGAGAACUCACUGCACUUUCAGUCAUCCUGGGCUGGCUCCCCGGCCCCUCUCACGUUCUUUAUGGAUUUGACCCAAAGUCUUCCAGAUGGAUGGAGCUGUGGGCACUGAGUCUGGGAAUGUCUCAGCCCACCUUGGCUCCCUUCUCCAGCAGGAGUGGAGGUGUGUGAUGUCAAACAGGCCCAGCCUCUCUCUCAGACCCGGUUCUGGGCCCACACAGCCCCUUCUUCCUGAAAGCAGAGGUGGCAGUAAGAGGAUGGCUUUGGCCUUUGAAUGUUCUCAAGCGAUCCAAGUUCAGAGUAUACUGUUGCUGUCCUCUGUCCCUGAAGCUUCUCUCCUACUCCUUGGACAAACUCACUUCUCCCCUCAGGGACUUCUCUCAUGUAGCAGAGUGUACACCUGCUGCCCCAGCAAGGCCUUCACAAUGAUCCAAGCCUGGCCUGUUGCUCCAGCUUCUGGAACCUCCCAUGGCCUUCGGUCUACUUGAAUGCUCCUGAGGCCAGGUAGCUCAUCACUGCCGGAGGACCUGUUGCCACUCACUUCUAGCCACAAGAAAUGUCUGCCUGUCCUGAGCAAAACCCACCUUGGAGGAACUUCUUUACUCCCUUGUUGAAUUUUUGGCUCUACCAAAUAAACAUGAAUUGCUUCCCUGUGAAAGACCU